UCAGCGGUUUAUAUAGCUGGUGCCUUUUUUGCCCUUAUUAUCCGAUAAUUAUGUUUCCGUGGACAGUUCUCAGCGGUUACCGUCCACCCUUUUUUUCCUCCCACGUCGCUACCUCCGUGAUCCAUAUAUAAUGUAAUAUUCUAAUGGUUAGAUUGAAAAGAAUCAUUGAAUAUCUAAGAAGAAAACCACCGAGAAGUACGGAUCGAAACUUCAUGAAACCUCGCAGCAAAAUCAUCAUCGCUACAUCAUGCUUCAGAAUUCCUAAUUCACGCUUCAGGGUAGAAUCGUUUACUUAUGCUUCACUCAAUUGUGAAGAAGUCGAAGGAUAUAAUUCUUGGAUUAUGAACAGUUAGGCUGAUGCUGUUACUCCUUGGGGUUUGAAUCGGAAUCUCCAUUAAAUAAGUUGAAUAUUCGCCGAUGGAAGCACACGACGUCACUUUCCGCCAUGUUCUGGUUUUGCGUCGCCGUGUAAGCCUGUUUAACUGUUUGAUGCUCUACUCUUCACAGUGACAACUUCCCUAAGUUGUCGUUCAUCAUUUUUCUGCCACUUUGCCGGUCGGCAUUCCGAUGUGCGAUCUAUAGGUUUCAUUGCUCGAUUUUGUCCAUGAUUUUGGUGCAGCGGGCUUAAAGCAAGUUUCAUGCUGCAAUUUUGGCCUUUGGUUAUUAACGUACGGUUUCGUUUAAGCGAAUUGAGGACGGAAUUGCCAAAAAAGAUCACCCGCUUUUGAGGUUUCCUUUUCUCCCCUUUAGAUGAUUACUUCAUCCUUCGUUGCUCAAAAUAUUACUUUUAUACAAGUCCUACUAUAAUGUAGGCAUUAAAUAUGAAAGAGGUAUGAUGUUUAUGUUACCUAAAUUUGGUUCUUGGUGGUUUUUACUUAUACAUCUUAUUAUUGAGUUUGAGUUUAGAACUAGAUGUUCAACUGUUUCUCAUCAUACUUUUCUUAACUCAUGGUUUUCAUAGUAUAGUUGAGGUUUUAAACUUAUAAUAUAUAAGCUUUCCUGACUUUCUCUGUGCAUUACUUUUACAUUAAUUUUUAAGUUUUGCAUUGAUUUGAGGCAGAUUUUAAAGGAGAAUAAGGACAAGAAAGAUGUAGGGCAGAAAACUUUCAGGUGUUGAACUAUUUAACUUUAAUUGAAAAACCAGAUUCUAAUACAUUUAGUGUAACAAUGUUAAUAGAUUGUUAUUCAUCCAUUUAGGGUAACAAUGUUAAUAGAUUGUUUGUUGUUAAAUUUAGUGUUCCUUGGUAUUGAUCUAACUGUCAAUCAUUGGUUUUUUAUGAUUAA